rnacentral:rRNA from 1 species
UACGGGGGGAGCAAGCGUUGUUCGGAUUUACUGGGCGUAAAGGGCGCGUAGGCGGCCUGUGCAAGUCAGUUGUGAAAUCUCCGAGCUUAACUCGGAACGGUCAACUGAUACUGCUCGGCUAGAGUGCGGAAGGGGCAACUGGAAUUCUUGGUGUAGCGGUGAAAUGCGUAGAUAUCAAGAGGAACACCUGCGGCGAAGGCGGGUUGCUGGGCCGACACUGACGCUGAGGCGCGAAAGCUAGGGGAGCGAACGGG